CGUCAAGGUGUGAAUAUUGCAUGUACUUUGGUUCUGGGUGAGGCACAACAAUCUCAAGAUGCUGACGACGAUGAAGAGCGACCAAGUGAAUCAGAACCUCAUGACGAGGACGAAGAAUUGAUUGCGGGUGCUUCAAACAAUCCAGAUGAAAAUGUAGAACAACCUAAUGCAGAUGAGCAAGAUGCAGAGGAGCGCGAUGACAAGCCUCUGACUCCCCAAAAUGCAGAGGAAAGUCCAAUUGGUGAAGAAUCAAAUGACACCAAACAGAAAUUGCGCUUGCCAAAUAAGAAAAAACCUCCGAGUAGAGUUGCAAAGAAGGGAAACGAAAAGCGUUCUGGAGUCCAUCAAGGUGUGAAUGUUGCACGUACAUUGGUUCUGGGUGAGGCACAACAAUCUCAAGAUGCUGACGACGAUGAAGAGCGAGCAAGUGAAUCAGAACCUCAUGACGAGGACGAAGAAUUGAUUGCAGGUGCUUCAAACAAUCCAGAUGAAAAUGUAGAACAACCUGAUGCAGAUGAGCAAGAUGCAGAGGAGCGCGAGGACAAGCCUCUGACUCCCCAAAAUGCAGAGGAAAUUCCAAUUGGUGAAGAAUCAAAUGACACCAAACAGAAAUUGCGCUUGCCAAAUAAGAAAAAACCCCCGAGUAGAGUUGCAAAGAAGGGAAACGAAAAGCGUUCUGGAGUCCGUCAAGGUGUGAAUGUUGCACGUACAUUGGUUCUGGGUGAGGCACAACAAUCUCAAGAUGCUGAAGACGAUGAAGAGCGAGCAAGUGAAUCAGAACCUCAUGACAAGGACGAAGAAUUGAUAGCUGGUGCUUCAAACAAUCCAGAUGAAAAUGUAGAACAACCUGAUGCAGAUGAGCAAGAUGCAGAGGAGCGCGAUGACAAGCCUCUGACUCCCCAAAAUGUAGAGGAAAGUCCAAUUGGUGAAGAAUCAAAUGAUACCAAACAGAAAUUGCGCUUGCCAAAUAAGAAAAAAC
rnacentral:lncRNA from 1 species